UUGCCUGUUGUUCACCUGGGAAAUCAAGAAUGGGUGGGGCCUGUGAAUAUGAGAGGAGGCGACCCACUCUUGGUUUCCAAGGUCAGCAGGGA
rnacentral:pre_miRNA from 1 species